UUUGUGAAUUUAAUGUUUUUAUGUAAAUUAUUAAUUAUUCCUAAGAAAUUUGAUAAAUCAUUACGUUUGAUGAUGGAAAAUAUAUCAUCAACGUUCUCCACCAGUGAUUAGAUUGAUUGAGUCUUUCACCGGGACUCUUGGGAAUAAGGCGGUUACAUCGAGAGAUACCAUUAUUUCGUCAACUUCGAUUUCACCUGAAUUAGCAUAUGGUCGCAAAACUGAAAUGUAGAGGUGCUGCUUGUUUAGAGAUGAUACUUUCAGCAAGAGCUGUCAAAUUGUAUUUUCAAUGAUUCGGUGUCCUUUCUCGCUGCUCUUCCGGUAAGAACAGAGAUAACCUGCAUCAAAUACAAGUUAUAAACUAUAAACAUGAACGCGGGACUGUGCUUGAGAUUUUUAAGUAGGAUUUUGAAAUGCGGUAGUUACAGUUCGAUAAAAAAAUCAAACUAUGUACAAACACAACUACUCGAAAAUAAAUUGUUAUUGGUUUCGUA